GGAUCACUCUCUGAACUGAAGGCAGACACUCAACCACUGAGCCACCCAGGCAUCCCUAACAGGUGGAAAGUUUUUUUUGUGUGUGUGGAAGACCAACUCAGAGCAGUCCUGUGACAAAUCAUACACUGCUUUCUCCAUCCUCACAGUUCUGUAAGGGGAAAAGAUCUGUGUCAUGGGUGUUUGUGUUUCCUACAGGAAGGCGGAAAACCAGGCCAGGAGAAAGAAAAGAAAGAAAAUGAUCUCUUAUUGAAUAGUUCCAAUAAACCAAGCACUGGAC